GCCGGGGUGGCGGAACGGUAGACGCCGCGGACUUAAAAUCCGCUGUCCGCAAGGGCGUGUGGGUUCGAAUCCCGCCCCCGGCACCA
rnacentral:tRNA from 1 species